CCAUUUGGGCAGAGGGAUCCUCCUCCCAUCACCACUGCUACUGUGCCAUGGGCUGGCAUCUGAGCCCUCUCUGUGCAGCUCAGUCACUCCCAUGAGCUGGGAAUGACCCCACGAGGACAUUUGGGGAAGCCUGGAGGGCCCCAGAGGGGAAGCAUCUGCUGGGGUCCUAACUGCCAGCUGCAACAUUCUCUUCUAUCUGUCUCGUACUGAUCAACCUCUCAUGUCUUCUUUUUCCAGCUUCUGUGUUUCCAGGUUGCCUUCCUGAGAAGUUUUAAGGCAUCACAGUCUGUAAGCCCUCUUGGGUUAAGGGCUGUGGCUCUGACCUCCAGACAGCUUAGCCUUGGCAUGAGGAAUGCUGCAUGCCUUGGUGCGUUCAUCUCUGCUGGGACACCUGAGCAUCAGAAAGGCUUUGAGGUUGGAGUUGUGCUCCAAAAUGAAGACCAUAGCAGGUGGCAUUUAAUAGGUGCAUCCUGAUGGUUCUCUGCACAGGGCUGUCCUGCCUCAGGGUGGCAAGCCAAGCUGCCUUCUGUGUGCUGGCAUCUGAGCCCUCCCUGCACAGCUCAGUCUGUCAGCUGGGAAUCACCCCACGAGGAUAUUUGGGAAAGGCAGGGUGGCCCCAAAGGGGCAAGCAUCUGCUGGGGUCAUGGUCCCCAGCUGCAACAUUCUCCUUUGGGCCUGACCAAGCAUUUAACUAUGUUGUGGAGAAUUCCCAGCCACAGAAGCAAUACAGAUUGUGUAUUGAUCCAGCUCCAACCUCCUGGCACUCCCCCUUUACGUAUUUACACA